rnacentral:lncRNA from 1 species
UAUGUUUUGUAUUCAGAUACACACACACGCACGCACACACACACACACACACACACACACACACACACACACACACACACAUACAUACACACACACACACACACACACACACACACACAGACAAAUAUGACUGAUAUAUAUUUAUAUAAAAAUGAAAUUAUAUGAGUGUCAGCUUUUAUUGCGCUUAUCUCAGCUGAAAAGACCCCGUAUGAUGCGUAGAUCAUGCGCUUCUCUGAUGUGUGUGACUCAAAUCAUUAGCUACAGUGGCAGUUUUAGGCAUGGGCGAACCUGGCAGCCGCCCGGGCGCCAUAUUUGUGGGUGGAGCAAAAUCACAGACGGAAUUACCCCCCCCACUGAUUAGCUAAUACAGAACAUGGGCUAAAUAAAUACGAUUAUGUCAUUCAUUUCCUGAAUAUCCAUGCAUAAAAAUCUCUCAAAAGUGAUGACAAAUAUAAAUAAUAUUGCUUCAGUAUUUAUUAAUGUUAUGGGAAGCCUUCAAAUGAAUCAUGUUACAAUUGUGCACCAAUAAUGAAUAACCCCUCCAACCAUUUGGCAGCUGAUUCUAUUAAUGAUGAAGUUAGCAGGAAACCUUAAGUUCCACUAUUUGAAAUAGAAAGAGGAAGCUGAGGUGUUUUGUCAGAAAAUGAAAAGCAGAUAAGUGACUUUCAACCCACUUGCAUAACAUGGGGGAUAUUCGCCUGGUAAGACGCAUUUCUGCUCUCUGUGUUUUACGCCAAUAUCUUGUGUCCUACUAGAAAGGGAACCGACACUUAUAAGGCACAGUAGACCAACUGUCUUGUCUGUUUACUGUAUUCUGUGGAAUUGUUCGGCUGUUGGAUGUUGUCUUUGUGAAAUGUAGUUGCCUUUCUAUUAACCACCAUGUCCGUCAACAACACCUGUCAAAACGGAAGCCUUUCACCGGGCUGCGCCCCGCAGCCGGCGGAGAGCUCGAUAGGCUUGGCCGUGGGCCUCAGCAUCUUCUUCCUGCUCCUCCUCCUCAUGGUGCCCAUCGUCUUCUACGUCUUGAAACGUUACCACAGUAACAUGUGGCGGCUGGACCGGGCCAGGCCCGGGAAGAGGGAGGACCCCGCGCAGAUCGAGCAGCAGCUGGCCGCCCAACGGUACAGCACCAUGGGCCGGGCGCCAGCCGGGGCAGAGCCAAGCCCCAUCUACGAAAACUACAGCGGCCAAACCUCCGCGGGCACAGCCUCCACGGGGGGGCCACACACGACCUCUUGGGCUCCUGGACCAAACAAGUUACUUCACAAAGUUUUUGUGAAGUUAAAUAAGCAAUGCAUGUGAAUCGUCAUUUGUGAAAAAUUCUGAUUAUUCAAAUUUAUUGG